rnacentral:rRNA from 1 species
GAUGAACGCUAGCUACAGGCUUAACACAUGCAAGUCGAGGGGAAACGAUAGAGAAAGCUUGCUUUUUCUAGGCGUCGACCGGCGCACGGGUGAGUAACGCGUAUCCAACCUGCCCACCACUUGGGGAUAACCUUGCGAAAGUAAGACUAAUACCCAAUGACGUCUCUAGAAGACAUCUGAAAGGGAUUAAAGAUUCAUCGGUGAUGGAUGGGGAUGCGUCUGAUUAGCUUGUUGGCGGGGUAACGGCCCACCAAGGCUACGAUCAGUAGGGGUUCUGAGAGGAAGGUCCCCCACAUUGGAACUGAGACACGGUCCAAACUCCUACGGGAGGCAGCAGUGAGGAAUAUUGGUCAAUGGGCGAGAGCCUGAACCAGCCAAGUAGCGUGCAGGAUGACGGCCCUAUGGGUUGUAAACUGCUUUUAUAAGGGAAUAAAGUGAGCCUCGUGAGGCUUUUUUGCAUGUACCUUAUGAAUAAGGACCGGCUAAUUCCGUG